UAGCGUAGGGGGCAAGCGUUUGUCCGGGAUUUAUUGGGCGUAAAGAGCGUGUAGGCGGCCAUACAGGUCAGCUGUGAAAACUCGAGGCUCAACCUCGAGACGUCGGUUGAAACCGUAUGGCUAGAGUCCGGAAGAGGAGAGUGGAAUUCCCGGUGUAGCGGUGAAAUGCGCAGAUAUCGGGAAGAACACCUAUGGCGAAGGCAGCUCUCUGGGACGGUACUGACGCUGAGACGCGAAAGCGUGGGGAGCGAACAGG
rnacentral:rRNA from 1 species